GGCAGUGUAGUCCAGUAGAGAGGACACUAACCUGAGAUUUAGAAGAUCUGGAUUCUAUUUCUAGCUCUGCCA
rnacentral:tRNA from 1 species